UACGUAGGGGGCAAGCGUUGUCCGGAUUUAUUGGGCGUAAAGAGCGUGUAGGCGGCUAUACAGGUCCGCUGUGAAAACUCGAGGCUCAACCUCGAGACGUCGGUGGAAACCGUAUGGCUAGAGUCCGGAAGAGGAGAGUGGAAUUCCUGGUGUAGCGGUGAAAUGCGCAGAUAUCAGGAAGAACACCCGUGGCGAAGGCGGCUCUCUGGGCCGAUAUUGACGCUGAGGAGCGAAAGCGUGGGGAGCGAACAGG
rnacentral:rRNA from 1 species